rnacentral:rRNA from 1 species
GGCUUACCGGAUAAAAGCUACCCCGGGGAUAACAGGCUGGUGAGAUCCAAGAGUUCACAUCGACGAUCUCGCUCGGCACCUCGAUGUCGGCUCAUCGCAUCCUGGGGCUGGACAAGGUCCCAAGGGUCGGGCUGUUCGCCCGUUAAAGCGGUACGCGAGCUGGGUUCAGACCGUCGUGAGACAGGUCGGUCUCUAUCCGCUGUGGGCGUAAGGGAUUUGAAGGGGAGCUGCUCCUAGUACGAGAGGACCGGAGUGGACAGACCUCUAGUGUGCCAGUUGUUCCGCCAGGAGCAUCGCUGGGUAGCCAUGUCUGGCAAAGAUAACCGCUGAAAGCAUCUAAGUGGGAAACUUGCCCUAAGAUUAGAUCCCUGUGACCCGUAAGGGUGUAAGACCGCAGGUAGACUACCUGCUUAAUAGGCAGCAUGUGUAAGCACAGUAAUGUGUUAAGCUAAGCUGUACUAAUGGUCGA